GUACUAUCCAAAAUUCUCAAUUUAGACCUGAUUUCACAGUACUAUCCAAAAUUCUCAAUUUAGACAUGAUUUCAUAGUACUAUCCAAAAUUCUCAAUUUAGACAUGAUUUCAUAGUACUAUCCAAAAUUCUCAAUUUAGACAUGAUUUCAUAGUACUAUCCAAAAUUCUCAAUUUAGACAUGAUUUCAUAGUACUAUCCAAAAUUCUCAAUUUAGACAUGAUUUCAUAGUACUAUCCAAAAUUCUCAAUUUAGACAUGAUUUCAUAGUACUAU